rnacentral:rRNA from 1 species
GACGAACGCUGGCGGCGUGCUUAACACAUGCAAGUCGAACGGUAAGGCCCUUCGGGGUACACGAGUGGCGAACGGGUGAGUAACACGUGGGUGAUCUGCCCUGCACUUCGGGAUAAGCCUGGGAAACUGGGUCUAAUACCGGAUAGGACCCUGGGAUGCAUGUCCUGGGGUGGAAAUCUUUUGCAUUGUGGGAUGGGCCCGCGGCCUAUCAGCUUGUUGGUGGGGUGAUGGCCUACCAAGGCGACGACGGGUAGCCGGCCUGAGAGGGUGACCGGCCACACUGGGACGGAGAUACGGCUCAGAAUACUACGGGAGGCAGCAGUGGGGAAUAUUGCACAAUGGGCGCAAGCCUGAUGCAGCGACGCCGCGUGAGGGAUGACGGCCUUCGGGUUGUAAACCUCUUUCAGCACCGACGAAGCGCAAGUGACGGUAGGUGCAGAAGAAGGACCCGCCAACUACGUGCCAGCCGCCGCGGUAA